AGAGUUUGAUCAUGGCUCAGGAUGAACGCUAGCGGCAGGCUUAAUACAUGCAAGUCGUGGGGCAGCAUGGUGUAGCAAUACACUGAUGGCGACCGGCAAACGGGUGCGGAACACGUACGCAACCUUCCUUUAACUGGAGAAUAGCCCGGCGAAAGCCGGAUUAAUACUCCGUAACAUUGUGGAGUGGCAUCACUCUAUAAUUAUAGCUCCGGCGGUUAAAGAUGGGCGUGCGUCUGAUUAGGUAGUUGGCGGGGUAACGGCCCACCAAGCCUACGAUCAGUAACUGGUGUGAGAGCACGACCAGUCACACGGGCACUGAGACACGGGCCCGACUCCUACGGGAGGCAGCAGUAAGGAAUAUUGGUCAGUGGACGCAAGUCUGAACCAGCCAUGCCGCGUGGAGGAUGAAGGUCCUCUGGAUUGUAAACUUCUUUUAUUUGGGAAGAAACCCCCGAUUUCUAUUGGGGUUGACGGUACCAGAUGAAUAAGCACCGGCUAACUCCGUGCCAGCAGCCGCGGUAAUACGGAGGGUGCAAGCGUUAUCCGGAUUCACUGGGUUUAAAGGGUGCGUAGGCGGGUUGGUAAGUCCGUGGUGAAAUCUCCAAGCUUAACUUGGAAACUGCCGUGGAUACUAUCAAUCUUGAAUAUAGUGGAGGUGAGCGGAAUAUGUCAUGUAGCGGUGAAAUGCUUAGAUAUGACAUAGAACACCCAUUGCGAAGGCAGCUCACUACACUAUUAUUGACGCUGAGGCACGAAAGCGUGGGGAUCAAACAGGAUUAGAUACCCUGGUAGUCCACGCCCUAAACG
rnacentral:rRNA from 1 species